rnacentral:rRNA from 1 species
CCCUUAGAUGUUCUGGGCCGCACGCGCGCUACACUGAUGCAUUCAACGAGCCUAGCCUUGACCGAGAGGUCCGGGUAAUCUUUGAAACUGCAUCGUGAUGGGGCUAGAUUAUUGCAAUUAUUAAUCUUCAACGAGGAAUGCCUAGUAAGCGUGAUUCAUCAAAUCGCGUUGAUUACGUCCCUGCCCUUUGUACACACCGCCCGUCGCUCCUACCGAUUGAGUGUGUUGGUGAGGAGUUUGGAUUGGCCUCGGAAGGUGGUUCGCCACCGUCCGUAGCUGAGAAGUUCUCCAAACCGCCCCACGUAGAGGAAGGAGAAGUCGUAACA